rnacentral:tRNA from 1 species
CGAGGUGUGGUGUAGCUUGGUCAACAUCCUGCGUUUGGAGCGCAGUGAUCACUGGUUCGAAUCCAGUCGCCUCGACCA